rnacentral:lncRNA from 1 species
GUACAAAAAAACUAGCUCAGAAAAGGUCAAAUCCUCCUAAAUCUAGUUUUUCUUAACAUCUGGCUUCUUACUUUUGGGAACAAGGAAAACAUUGCCAUCUCUUGUUUGCUGCAGGGAGUAUUCACUAGGAGAAUAAGGUUUUCCAUCUUCAUCACGUAGCAUGCUGAAAACUUCGAGAUAUAAGGUGCUGAGUUGUUUUUUCAGUAGGUGAAGGCUUUUGUCAUUUUCUCCUUUUUCUUUGAGCAAUUUUUCUUUUUCAUCUUUCAAAUGAUCUAAAUCUUGCUCUAGUUCUACUAUAUUUUCCAGUUUUCUUUUUCUGCAAUUCUGAGCAGCCACUUUAUUCUUACCCCUC